UAUUAUCACAAGGAGUGCUAACCAGCUGAGAUCGCUUUUGCGAAAUCCUAGGGACCUGAUCUAGUUAAUACUAGCGUAGGAAUGUGAUGGGUAAGGUUA
rnacentral:ncRNA from 2 species